AAUGGUUAGCACUCUGGACUUUG
rnacentral:piRNA from 2 species